AACGAACGCUGGCGGCAGGCUUAACACAUGCAAGUCGAACGCACCUUUCGGGGUGAGUGGCAGACGGGUGAGUAACGCGUGGGAAUCUACCCUUCUCUACGGGAUAGCUCCGGGAAACUGGAAUUAAUACCGUAUACGUCCUGAGGGAGAAAGAUUUAUCGGGGAAGGAUGAGCCCGCGUUGGAUUAGCUAGUUGGUGGGGUAAAGGCCUACCAAGGCGACGAUCCAUAGCUGGUCUAAGAGGAUGAUCAGCCACAUUGGGACUGAGACACGGCCCAAACUCCUACGGGAGGCAGCAGUGAGGAAUAUUGGACAAUGGGCGCAAGCCUGAUCCAGCCAUGCCGCGUGAGUGAUGAAGGCCCUAGGGUUGUAAAGCUCUUUCAGUGGGGACGAUAAUGACGGUACCCACAGAAGAAGCCCCGGCUAACUUCGUG
rnacentral:rRNA from 1 species